UUAUUAUUUUUCAGAAAACGAUCCGCCUGCAGUCAUUUCCACCGUGACGACAGAUGAAGUCAGUUAUGGACAGAUAAUCAUCAGAGAAACCAGGAAAAGAGAUUACAAACCAGAACCAAAAGUUGUUUAUUCCACCCUGAGGUAAUCCUCCAGCAGGAAGCCCCACUGGUCUAGUUAAAGCACAGAACCAUCAACUCCUGGUGAAUAAGUUUAUCUGUCUGAAGAACCAAAUGAAUGUAUUUAAUGUUUCAUUCUCAUGUUUCCAGUCACUGUUUUAUUUUAAAUGUCUGAACUGUUAAAACCUCAGCAGCUUCAGCCUGUUGAACCAGUUUAACAAGUUUAACCAGUUUAACAAGUUUAACCAGUUUAACCAGUUUAACCUGUGAAACCUGCGGUUCUGCAGCUUGUUGCUAACAAACAUGAUGUUCCUGUUUCUGUCUGCGGCUCGGCAGUGGAAACUUUUAUUUACAGCAGCAGGUGAGAAAAACUAAACCAAAACCGCAGAACAAACCUGUUAAAACAAACAAAAUCCCUGAGUGUGUGAAACCAAAGCAGAACCUUCAGGAUGUUUAUUGAUUAUAUAUAAAGAAAAUCUGCAAUAAACUGCAGUUAAUGUUAAAUUCACUGUUUCUGCAUUCAGAACAUAUUAGCUAAAUGCUAUGUGAGGUUUAUUCCUGUCAUAAUGAAGUCCAGUUGGUUCGGUUGGUUCUGGUUUCUCAUUCAGACCAAAGUUCAGCCAUCAGAGGAUUUAAACUGAAGAUAAUCUGCAGGUUGGUGACAUCAUCAGCUCUGCAGAUGCUAAAACAUGCUAACCUGAAUCAUGCUAAACUGAUUCAGGUUUAAUUUACUGAUUAAUUCUGAUUCGACGAGCUGAAGUUCUUCACUUUUAUUCUGCUUGUUUUAAUUUGAUAUAUUAAA